CUGUCGUCAGCUCGUGCCGUGAGGUGUUGGGUUCAGUCCCGCAACGAGCGCAACCCUCGCCCUUUGUUGCCAUCGGGUAAAGCCGGGCACUCUAAGGGGACUGCCAGCGACAAGUUGGAGGAAGGAGAGGAUGACGUCAAGUCAUCAUGGCCUUUAUGCCUAGGGCCACACACGUGCAACAAUGGCCGGUACAGACGGAGGCAAUGCCGAGAGGCGGAGCAAACCCGAGAAAACCGGUCCCAGUUCGGAUUGAGGUCUGCAACUCGACCUCAUGAAGUCGGAAUCGCUAGUAAUCGCAUAUCAGAACGAUGCGGUGAAUACGUUCCCGGGCCUUGUACACACCGCCCGUCACACCACGAAAGUUUGUUGUACCCGAAGUCGGUGCCUUAACCUCGCAAGAGGAGAGAGCCGCCCAAGGUA
rnacentral:rRNA from 1 species